rnacentral:rRNA from 1 species
UACGAGUGCCCCAAGCGUUAUCCGGAAUUAUUGGGCGUAAAGGGUGUGUAGGCGGUUUUGUUAGUCUCUUGUUAAAGCUCCCGGCUCAACUGGGAAAAUGCAGGAGAUACGGCAAAACUAGAGGAUGCGAGAGGUAUGUGGAACUCAUAGUGUAGGGGUGAAAUCCGUUGAUAUUAUGGGGAACACCAAAAGCGAAGGCAACAUACUGGCGCAUUCCUGACGCUGAGACACGAAAGCGUGGGUAGCGAAUGGG